rnacentral:rRNA from 1 species
UGGGGAAUUUUGGACAAUGGGCGCAAGCCUGAUCCAGCCAUUCCGCGUGCAGGAUGAAGGCCCUCGGGUUGUAAACUGCUUUUGUACGGAACGAAACGCGCCGGGUUAAUACCUCGGCGUAAUGACGGUACCGUAAGAAUAAGCACCGGCUAACUACGUGCCAGCAGCCGCGGUAAUACGUAGGGUGCAAGCGUUAAUCGGAAUUACUGGGCGUAAAGCGUGCGCAGGCGGUGAUGUAAGACGGAUGUGAAAUCCCCGGGCUCAACCUGGGAACUGCAUUUGUGACUGCAUCGCUGGAGUGCGGCAGAGGGGGAUGGAAUUCCGCGUGUAGCAGUGAAAUGCGUAGAUAUGCGGAGGAACACCGAUGGCGAAGGCAAUCCCCUGGGCCUGCACUGACGCUCAUGCACGAAAGCGUGGGGAGCAAACA